rnacentral:misc_RNA from 1 species
AACUGAUACUACCUGCGGGAACCUGCGGAGGGAUCAUUAAUGAAUUACAAAGUCGGUAGAUUGUGCUGGCAGUAAUGCAUGUGCACGUCUAUCGCAAAUCCACACACCUGUGCACUAUGACUUUGAGAUUCGUCCUUUUAGGACAGCCGGUUUGACUCCGUGUCUAACCUGAAUCUUAAGGUAUUUACACACACGCAUGAAUGAAAAGAAUGGUAUUGUGCUUAUGCAUAUUACAUACAA